rnacentral:rRNA from 1 species
GAUGAACGCUGGCGGCGUGCCUAAUACAUGCAAGUCGAGCGAACGGACGAGAAGCUUGCUUCUCUGAUGUUAGCGGCGGACGGGUGAGUAACACGUGGAUAACCUACCUAUAAGACUGGGAUAACUUCGGGAAACCGGAGCUAAUACCGGAUAAUAUUUUGAACCGCAUGGUUCAAAAGUAAAAGACGGUCUUGCUGUCACUUAUAGAUGGAUCCGCGCUGCAUUAGCUAGUUGGUAGGGUAACGGCUUACCAAGGCAACGAUGCAUAGCCGACCUGAGAGGGUGAUCGGCCACACUGGAACUGAGACACGGUCCAGACUCCUACGGGAGGCAGCAGUAGGGAAUCUUCCGCAAUGGGCGAAAGCCUGACGGAGCAACGCCGCGUGAGUGAUGAAGGUCUUCGGAUCGUAAAACUCUGUUAUUAGGGAAGAACAUAUGUGUAAGUAACUGUGCACAUCUUGACGGUACCUAAUCAGAAAGCCACGGCUAACUACGUG